rnacentral:tRNA from 1 species
UCCCUGGUGGUCCAGCGGUUAAGACUCUGCAUUCCCAGUGCAGAGGGACUGGGUUCGAUCCCUGGUCAGGGAA